AGCAUAAGACUCCUUGGGCUGUUUGUCCCACACAGUCCAAAUGAAAAAUCAUUUCAAGUGGUUCACACCCCUCAGUCUCAGCACUUGGUUGAGGCAAGAAGUUGUGGCGACACAAGUUGAAGGCCCGUCUGGACUUAUGGAGGCAGACUGCAUUAAGCUGGUUACAUAAGUUCCAGUGUGGUGCUCAGUGCAUAAACGUGCCUGACAGCCUGACUUCAGUACCCAGAACCCACAUGGUGGAAGGAGAGAGCUGACUCCUGAAAGUUGUCCUCUGACCUGAGUACCUUGCAUGGAUGAGCGUGCGAAAGCUGCUCCAGAUGACAGCACUUGAGGCAGACUGGAAGACUGACAUCCAGGUGCUGAAAUCUCAGGCACACAAGAGAGCUGGCGGCUGUUGACAGCAACAGGAAGAGAAAAGUGUGACUUGGUUGGGUGGUGUGGGUGUCAAAAGAGAAGGGGCUUUCUUUUU